GAAAAAGGAAAGCUCCUUUCCUCUCUCUACGGCCAAGUCUUGGAGUACUCAAAAGCCUCAUUUGUAAGAGGAGCGUGAAAGAAAGAAGAUAAAAGAAGAUGUCUACCAACAUUGCCGCAUUUACGAGUGCAGACAUAGAUGAGAAAGUUAUUAGGAGGGAAAAGCCAGCAGAUUUGGUAAUGGCUCUAGCUGAAGCGAAGGUAUAUUUAAUUGUUAGCUCUCUCUAGCUGUUGAACCUCUAGGAAUUGGAGCUCAAUGUUAAUUGUAUGCAUCUGUGUGCAUAUAUUUUAUGAUAAAAUCCUGUGAGACAGAACCCAGGUCAUUUUUAUCUGUUGCGAUUUCUGUGAAUGGAAUGUGAAUUAUGUUUCAAAUCUUGCCUCAAACUGAUAUGAAAAUAGAAUACUCACCAUUGCAAUUCAUCGAGCUUUGGAGGCAGGAGUGUAUCUAGGGGGUUCGGAGGGAUGUGCCCCCUGAAACAGCUAAAUCAGCGACAUGUUAGGUUUGGGAGCAACUUGAGUAAGGAAAAAGACUUCAAAACAGAAAUUGGACUGAAUUAUGGUGGGGUUUAUUCUGUGGUGGGUUGGGCUGUGUGGGUACACCUCAUCCUCCACAAAAACAUUAACUUGGCAGUGUGGGGUGUUGUGAAACCAACGAUGACAAACAAACAAAGAAAAGGUGGAUGGGACAGAGCCGACGUAAUGGUUUCUGGCAUUUUUAUUUGGAUGUGCUCUUCCUGAUCAGUGAAUAUUACAUGAUUUUAAGCCCACCUAAUCUUAGGACAUGUUAAAAAUGUAUUUAUCUACGUAUGAAAAGGGUAUUGCUGCUGUUUUACAUCAUAUCUCCUUUUCUUUACUCGGUUUCUGUCGGAUUCACCUGGGUUUUUGUUAUUGU